rnacentral:lncRNA from 1 species
GGCCAAAUAAAGCAGUUUGGUUUAACAUUACAGGAAAUGUCUCUCCAACUUUAAGAGAUCACCACGGUGUCCGCAUCCCAAAUGACGGCCUAUUCCUAUGUAGGGAACAGGGCACUGUUUGGGACAGGUACUAUGUGAGCAGCACAUUCCUCGGGCCCGAUUAUCGCAUUCUCACUCUUCGGUGACGUCAUCUCUCUCUCUGUUCCAGAGGAUUUGUAGGAACGAGAGAACGAAGUGGGAGGAGGAGAAAAAAUACCACUUAAAUUCUAUUGGUUGUGGGAUUUAUUUUCUUUUUUUUUUUUCUUUCAUUUGCUGUGAUUGGUUGGCAUGAGUGUUCCAGGGAAUCCCUCCAGCCAGUCAUUUAAGCUGUUUGUCAGACUCAUGUGGAGCAGAAAGUCCACAGUCCUCUGAAAAGGAGAGAGGUAUCCAAUACCUUUUGCUUUGAAACUGUAUUUCAGCCCUUCAAUUUGAGCACUAUGGAUUUGACUUCUGGAAUAGAGAAGGCAGUGGAAGUGUGGUCUGAAACACCGAGGCAGUGGAAGUGUGGUCUGAAACACCGAGGCAGUGGAAGUGUGGUCUGAAACACCGAGGCAGUGGAAGUGUGGUCUGAAACUCCGAGGCAGUGGAAGUGUGGUCUGAAACUCCGAGGCAGUGGAAGUGUGGUCUGAAACUCCGAGGCAGUGGAAGUGUAGUCUUUAAGAAAUGUUAACCCUUACCCACUGUGGAGUUUAGGAGAUAGAGUCGGAAAGUAUUCAGACCCCUUGACUUACGUAAAUGUGAUAUUUCAGUUUUUUAUUUGUAAUAAAUUUGCUAACAAUUCUAAAAAAUCUGGUUUCGCUUUGUCAUUAUUGGGUAUGUUGUGUAAAUUGAUACGGGGGGGGGGGGGGAACAAUUUAAUCAAUUUCAGAAAAUAGCUGUAACGUAACAAAAUGUGGAAAAAGUCAAGGGGUCUGAAUACUUUGUGUGUGUGAACAUGAUGCUCGAUCAGAUUCUUGUUUACUUUAGAGGUCCCAUUUAGUGUCAGACAGUCUGCCAAUCAGAAGUGGCUGCCUCACCCUGCCUGCGUUGCUAACACUCACUUGAAACAUACUUCUAGUUACCCCGGGCCAGCAGUUAUCUUCCGUCGCUGUUCACACACAUAUUACUACUGCAACUCAAACGGCAUCCUAUUCCCUUCAUGGUGAACUACUUUUAACCAGGACCCAUUGGGCUGUUCCCAUUGGGCUAUUCCCAUAGGGCUGUUCCCAUUGGG